ensembl:lncRNA ARHGEF3-AS1 ARHGEF3 antisense RNA 1
UUCAACUGUACUGAGAAAUGGAAAAAGUCAGUUGGCCAAGCAAAAGUGCUAAGAGCAGAGAGGAGUCAAGAAUCCUCAUGGGCUUCCAGUGCCUGGUUCAAGGUGUCAGGAUCUAUACAGCCUGGCUUCUCUACUGCCUGAAGGGAAAUGAGACAAGCAGGACUAAGUGGAAACCCAGAUAAGAGACCCGAUGCUCUGAAAUGUGUCUGAAGCCCCCAAUCUGGCAUUCUGACCCCAAAGCAUAUACCUUUUCACCAUCUAAGCAUUUGUUAUGGCUGCCAAGCACUGUCCACCAAACUCAGACUCUGGGCUGACCAAUAAAACUGCUAACCCCAA